rnacentral:rRNA from 1 species
CCGGAGGAGGGUGGGGACGACGUCAAGUCAUCAUGGUCCUUACGCCCAGGGCUACACACGUGCUACAAUGGCCGGGACAAACCGCAGCGAGCCCGCGAGGGGGAGCGAAUCGGAGAAACCCGGUCCAAGUUCGGAUCGCAGUCUGCAACCCGACUGCGUGAAGCUGGAAUCGCUAGUAAUCGUGGGUCAGCUACACCACGGUGAAUACGUUCCCGGGCCUUGUACACACCG